GGCUCGGUAGUGAAUGGUUCGCCCUUGCAUUUCUUUCAGGUCUUCAACUGUUGUUAACGCAAGAGUCACCCGUUCGAUUCGGGUCCGAGCCA